AUUGAACGCUGGCGGCAGGCCUAACACAUGCAAGUCGAGCGGAUGAAUGGAGCUUGCUCCUGGAUUCAGCGGCGGACGGGUGAGUAAUGCCUAUGAAUCUGCCUGGUAGUGGGGGAUAACGUCCGGAAACGGGCGCUAAUACCGCAUACGUCCUGUGGGAGAAAGUGGGGGAUCUUCGGACCUCACGCUAUCAGAUGAGCCUAGGUCGGAUUAGCUAGUUGGUGGGGUAAAGGCCUACCAAGGCGACGAUCCGUAACUGGUCUGAGAGGAUGAUCAGUCACACUGGAACUGAGAAACGGUCCAGACUCCUACGCGAGGCAGCAGUGGGGAAUAUUGGACAAUGGGGCAAAGCCUGAUCCAGGCAUGCCGCGUGUGUGAAGAAGGUCUUCGGAUUGUAAAGCACUUUAAGUUGGGGGGAAGGACAGUAAGUUAAUCCCUUGCUAUUUUGACGUUACCAGCAGAAUAAGCACCGGCUAACUUCGUG
rnacentral:rRNA from 1 species